rnacentral:ncRNA from 1 species
CAGGUUCCGGUUCACGUCCGAUUACAAGCUUCAGUAGGGCGACCCGGCGACC